rnacentral:lncRNA from 1 species
CGAUGCAUAAACAAAAUGACAGUAUACACUUAUUGCCUGCAAUGGAUGUGAAUAUUCAAAAUUUGUAACCCGAUUAAUGUUAUUUCACGAGAGCUUCAGCUCGAGUUGAAUAGUCCUUUCUCGUAUUGACAAUUUUUGAUAUUCACAGAAGCAAUGGGCGAUAACAUUUGUAUCAUACCAAUCCAACAGUUUAGAGUAAACUAUAACAUUACAAGAGUUGAAAAGAUUGUCAACACAUUAAAGUUGGAAAAUUAUUUUGUGUCUUAAACCUUCUAGAAUGUACAAAGAAAGGUCAAUUCGUUCUGUAAAAUAUUGAGUACCCUGAAAGUGAAAAAAGAGCCGUUUUUGAGAGAUAUCCUUGAAACUAGAUAAUUUUCGAUACCUUGUUUGGUCUGGUUUUCUCGUUACUUGAUUGGCAUCUUACCUUGUGAUUGCAAUUUUGUUUACAGUCGCAAGUGACGUAGUUUUGUUUGGGAGACAACUCUUGUAAAAAUCACAAGACUGAAAAGGUUAUUCACAAAGAAAUAAUAGGUUUGUUCGAUAAAGGCAUUAAUUUGUCGGGGUUAUUCGUCGCUCUUGUCAAUUUGUGAAAAACACCGAAAUUAGACUAUGGCAAGUGAUUCCGUAUUAGCCAAUCAAAUAACUUAUAUAAAACAUAAGGUAUAAUAAUAUGUAUAAUAAUAUGUACACAUACAUGUAGUUGGAAUGUGUCAAUCGAUAAUCAAUUUUAGGUAUUAAUUCCGUCAAAAAUUG